CCAUUUAAAAAAAAAAACUGCAUUUUGGAUUCACAUUACUUAUAAACCAUCUUCAUUUUAAAUCAACGGCAACAAAAUGCUUGAGAUAUAUAUUGUUACCACUGGUAAAUGGAAUUGGUUACAUUAACUGGACACCUAUAAAAAAGAUUUUUUUUUUUUUUUUUUUUUUUAAAUACAAAAGAUGAAGUGACCCUCAUGGUAUGUUUCGUAAUGUGGGAACUCUCUCACCAGCAUACCCAGUGAUUGAAUGCCACAGUGUUUCUUCGAAUCACCCAGGAUGUUAUUUCAGUUCCUGUUCUCCUCCUCUUUUCUGCCCAUCUCGCAUUUUUGCCCUUUCAGCUGAUUCAAAUCCCCCUACUCAUUUCCCUCCGUGUCCUCCUCCUUAUCGUCCAAGAGCAUUCUGUAAACAUACCGGUUCUGGCUUUCAUUCUAGAACGUGCAUUGUUUCCUUUUUGACUCAUAAAUCUCUGGGUCGUCCCACAUUUUUUAUUCCCCUGGAGUGAAUCAGGGUGCAGUUUGCUGUAGGUUAGGCUUUGUGUAAUACACCCCCUGCCCUUGAAGUGAUCUCUCUUCUAUUUAUGCAACAAAUACAUGGGUACAUCUGUGGAAUGCAGGUCUUUCAGCUGUUGCUUGCUGAAAAUGUUUACCGUGUAAGCUUGAUAGUACACCUGAUAAGAGUUACGCUCUUGAUUAAAGAGCUGCGAACAACAGCCUUUCAUCACAAGUCUCCAGACUAAAAUCCUUAAAAGAGCUGUUUUUUAAAACUAACUAAAUAUAGUUUGAUUUUCUGACGCAGUGCCUUCAGUUGCUGUGCACGGUAGUUUAAACAAGGUCAUCUCAGUUUUGUAACCCUUAUUUUCACUUCCUAAUUGUGUCAUUCAUUCUUAUGAACUGCAAAGUUUUUGCCGAUGGGUUUUCUUCUCCUCACUGAUGUAGUUGUUGCCAAUCAGUUGAUUCAUAGGCAGAGGAAGUUGACCAAAAACAAGGACCUGCUUUUAUGGAGCUCAAUGUUUGCCAGUGGGAAAUAGAAUCAACCCCAACACCUAACAAUUCCUUUAUUUUAUAAACGCCACCGUUUUUCUCUGUUAAUUAUGCCAUUUUCUGUAGUUUUCUGUAAUAACAAUCUUCUUAAUGUUAUUUUCACAAAACUGGAUUUAAAAUUAACAAGACAGGUGUAUCUCAAACGAUAAAUGUGCUAUUUGUCUUGUGCUUGAAGUACUUUUUAUGAAUGCAAUGUUUUUAUAUGGUUUAUAUUUAUCUCUGGUUAUUUGUUUAUGUUUGUAUCCAAGUUUCCUCAGUUGCACGUUUUGUUUGUAUUCUAGCAGUUACUUUUUUAUUUAAUUUACUUGUUUUAGCAUUUAUUGGUGUUAUGAUAGUUUGCAUACUGCUUAUUUUGUAUUUAACUAUAGACCACUAUGUUUUAAAAAAAAGUAUGGAAAAUCUGACUGGUUGGUGAAACUCAUAUAGCUUUUGUUCACAAAUAGUGAUAUAUUGCAAGCAUGUAUGUAUAGAUGUUUAAAAAAACGUAUUUUCUGUAACGCCAUAUUUGUGAGAAAUAUAGUUUUAAACCAAUAGGAGCGGAUGACCAAUAAAGGACACUGUUUUAAACAGAAAUGUCUAAAACAUCAUGGGGAAUACUUUUGACUGGGCCGUUGCUUUAAAAAAAAAAAAAAAAAAAAUUCAAGUAAUAGAAAAGAUUAUUUUAUAAAUGCUUUGAGCUAUAACUUUUUGCUUAAUGAAUUCUUACAAUUUGACUUUUGCCUUUUGAAUUUAACUUAAAAAAACACCUCUAGUAUGGUGAUCUGAUUUAUUAAUCUAAAGUAAGUUUUAAUAGGAUGUUUUUUUUUUUUACUUAAUUUUUUUAAAGUUGUUUUUGAGAUUUUAUUGAUCAUGUUUACUGUAAAGGAGGGGUGUUUUUAGUUUAGAUGUCUUUGGCCUGUGUUAUUGCUUUUGACUUCAGGCCCAGGCAUGCAUGCGUUAAACGACACACUUGUUUCUGCAAACAGCCUGAAGCUGAGCUAUAAGCACCGAUCACACUGACAGAAAAACGCAACACUUUUCUGUCACACUGCUGUUGUUUCAGUUUAUUGUCCUGUUUAGGUUUUUCCCUUUCUUUUCGAUAUCAUCUGAUAAAAAAGUUAAGUUGUUCAUGAAUUUUCCUGAGAGCCUCUUGUUUGCAACCGCUACUCUACUUCUACUUAUUCAUGCAGAUAUGAACUUAUCAGCAAAAUCCCUCCGUUGUAGAAAAACACAUUUUAUCAGCUCUGCUUUGGCUUUUUAUACAAACUCAGUCAUAUAGACAAAAGCCAAAUCCAACUCUUUCUUAGCCCUAACUCUACAUUUUACUCAUUCACACUAAGGACUAAACUCUAUCAGGGUUUCCUGAGUAGGUGCAAAGUAACCAGACCCAAAAUGCACUAUGUUUUUCCUGAGACACACAUGGAAUCAAAAAGGUAAGAGCCCGCUUUCAAGUCUAACAACUUAAUACUUUCAAAGUUAGCAUACUGUUAAAGGCAAAAAA